rnacentral:rRNA from 1 species
UACGUAGGUGGCGAGCGUUGUCCGGAUUUACUGGGUGUAAAGGGCGUGUAGGCGGAUCCGCAAGUCAGAUGUGAAAUACCGAUGCUUAACAUCGGGGCUGCAUUUGAAACUGUGGACCUUGAGUGCAGGAGAGGAAAGCGGAAUUCCUAGUGUAGCGGUGAAAUGCGUAGAUAUUAGGAGGAACACCAGUGGCGAAGGCGGCUUUCUGGACUGUAACUGACGCUGAGGCGCGAAAGCGUGGGUAGCAAACAGGAUUAGAUACC